UUUUUAUUCAAUUAAAGAUUGUCAACUUCCCCUUGAUAGGGCCAACGUGUGGUUAGGAAGAAAAAAAACUAGGUUCACUGUUGACGCAUUAACGUGAGAGGUUGGCUUUCAGUGCGAAGCUUAGGGGGGGAGGUAAACAAGAUGGCGUCAACCUGAGUGGCAGCUCCAGAAUAGCAGACUUCUAAUAUCAGUACCGAGCUAGUUACAAAUACACUGCACAAAAAUAUACGAUAAUGAAAAGGACUUUUACACAUUUCGAAGACUCCGGACGUCUGGGUGGCUAGAUGGUGAGGAACAGAAGGCGGAUGACAAACUAGGAGAAUGACUAACGAUUGGUCACUCUAGUCAACUCAGAAGAACUUCAGGAUCUCAAGAACUCUUUAAAAAAAGAAAAUAAAAAAAAGAUUUGCUUUGCUUGAAUCUGGACUAAAGAUCCAGCCGGGCCGUUGGCACCAAGCUGUGCCCCUGAAGUCGACUAUGCACUGCGGAUAGGACCUUCGACAGAAAUGCUGUGCUGGGUUCAGAAACAGGACUGGUCUUCUCUACCUCGGCCAGACACAGUCUCCUCCAAUCAGAUCACAGAUGGAGGUGACAUGGAUAUAAGUGGAGACGUGUAAUCUCUAGGCAACAGUCCCCCAUCCUCUCCUCUGGCCCUGUCCUGUCAGCAGUACAGAGAGAGAGAGAGAGAGGAGAGCUAGGCUAUUGACUUGCACUGACAGGUCCUGGCUGGCGAGAGAUCUGUGGAAGACCUACUGUGAGUCCACCUCAUGUUUACAAGCGACCAGAAGUCCCCUAUACCGUGUGUGUGUUAACACUAAACUUUGGUUAUACCCUUUCUGAUGCCCCUUGGGGCUUUUCUCUUGAACCGCCUUGUCCCGUUUGCAUCAAAGUACAAGAUUAAGUCCCAGCUCAGAUAAGAGGCAUCGCUUAGACUUGCGCCAGCUGUUCUGAGAUAACUGGCCUAACCCAGCCCCCCCCACACCACACACCUUCUCCUCAACUCUGCCCUGAAGGAAGUGCAGGCCAGGCCGAGUCACCCCCAGCUAGUCACCCUCAGCCAGUCACCCCAAGCUAGUCACCCCCCACCUAUAGUCCCUCCCCUCCCGGUCUCACCCCCACCUCCCAGUCCUCACCCCCUCCCAGUCCUCCCCACCUGAGCACCAUGAGCAUGGGGGAGCACCUGGACUACCUGACGGAGAACGAACUGAUGGGGAUGGACACGUUCAUCCACCGCAUCGACUCCACGGAGGUGAUCUAUCAGCCCCGCAGGAAGAGGGCCAAGCUGAUCGGGAAGUACCUGAUGGGGGACCUGCUGGGGGAGGGCUCCUACGGGAAGGUCAAGGAGAUGCUGGACUCAGAGACGCUCUGCCGUCGCGCCGUCAAGAUCCUGAAGAAGAAGAAGCUGAGGAGGAUCCCCAACGGAGAGGCUAACGUGAAGAAGGAGAUUCAGCUGCUAAGAAGACUCCAGCACAAAAAUGUCAUCCACCUUGUGGAUGUGCUGUAUAACGAGGAGAAGCAGAAAAUGUAUAUGGUGAUGGAGUAUUGCGUAUGUGGGAUGCAAGAAAUGCUGGACAGCGUCCCAGAGAAAAGGUUUCCAGUAUUUCAAGCUCAUGGGUACUUCUGCCAACUGUUAGAUGGUCUGGAAUAUUUGCACAGCCAGGGAAUCGUCCACAAAGACAUCAAACCUGGGAACCUUCUGCUCACCACGGAUGGAGCGCUCAAGAUCUCUGACCUGGGAGUGGCGGAGGCUCUGCAUCCGUUUGCGGAGGAUGAUACGUGCAGGACCAGCCAGGGCUCCCCAGCCUUCCAGCCCCCGGAGAUCGCCAACGGCCUGGACACCUUCUCAGGCUUCAAGGUGGACAUCUGGUCGGCCGGAGUGACGCUCUACAACAUCACAACGAGCCUGUACCCGUUCGAGGGGGACAACAUCUACAAGCUGUUCGAGAACAUCGGGAAGGGAGACUACAGCGUGCCGGAGGACUGUGGGCCCCUUCUGUCAGACCUGCUGAGAGGAAUGCUUGAAUACGACCCUGUCAAGAGGUUCUCCAUACAGCACAUCAGACAGCACAACUGGGUGCGUAAGAAACACCCCCCCUCGGAGCCCCCGGUGCCCAUCCCGGCGAGUGCGGAGGGGCGUGACGCGUGGCGCAGCAUGACGGUGGUGCCGUACCUGGAGGAUCUGCACGGCUACACCGAGGAGGACGACGAGGAUGGCCUGUACGACACGGAGGACGACAUCAUCUACACUCAGGACUUCACUGUGCCAGGUCAGGUAGGUGAGGAGGACCUGGUGGAGGUGGAGCGGAGCCGUGCGGCGGCCAGGCCAGUGUGUGUGAACGGUACUGAGGGCAGCUCGCCGCACGGCAAGCCCAAGACCGACCGCCGCUCUUCCUCCUCCUCCAACCCCUCACGCAAGGGAGUCUCCACCGCCAGCAAGAUCCGCAAGCUCUCCACCUGCAAGCAGCAAUGACCCCACCUCACCCCGCCUGGUGAGCAGGGGGAGGGGGACUUGUUGUUAACCUCCGUGUAUAUCCUCCCUUCCUUCUGUUUUGGAGUCUGUGUUGUGGUGAGAGACCCCUGCUGCCGUCAUGCCCACCUCUCCUGAACCACACGAACUCUAGAAGGAGGAAAGACUGGUGACAGAAAGAGAGGGAGGGCGAGGAGGAGGAGGAUAAGGAGGAAAGGAGUACCGUGUUUACUCUAAGACUGAAGCCACUGGGUGUGAAGAGACUGUCUGACCUCUGACUUCUCUCCCCUCCUUUUCCUUCCAAGCGUCAACGAGGAGUUGUGGGCUUGUGCUGCGCCGUCAACUUCCCUUUUCCCUCCUCUCCCCCUCCUCCCUUCCUAGUUCUUAGACUACCUUUAAUUUUACAGUUACCUAACUGCAGUUUUAAAAGACGCACAUUGUGAUGUGUAAAAAGAAUGAUGUUGAUAACGAUAAAGAAUAUGAAUAAUUCUAUAUUUAAACCGUGGUGAGGUUGGUGGUGAUGAAGCUUGAUGUAGGAACCUGCAUGCUGUACUGAGCUUGGAGUAAGGGAACUGAAGGUUGGACUGCCUUGACGUCCACCUCCUAUGAGUUGGGUUUUUCCUUAUCUUUUUUUCCGUUUUGUUUUUUUGUUUUUUUCCUUUCCAAUAAAUAUUUUUUAACUAUUAUUUAUAUAAAACACAUCCCAACCAAACCAU